GGGGAUAUGGCGAAAUUGGUAGACGCUACGGACUAAAAUCCGUCGACUUUAGAAAUCGUGAGGGUUCGAGUCCCUCUAUCCCCA
rnacentral:tRNA from 2 species